rnacentral:lncRNA from 1 species
UCCCGAUCUAGGUUUAUUUCUGGGGGUUUCUAUAUUUAUAGGAAUUAUUUGCAUUGAGAAUAGUCAGGGGGUCCACGAGGAGCCCACAAGACCGGAGGGCGCACCGUAGGGGGGCGUCCUCAACCCUUGUGGAGGCCUUGUGGCUCUUCUAGCGCAGCUCUUUUGCUUCAGGGGCUUCUUCUGGUCCAUAAAAAAUCACCGUAAAUUUUCAGGUCAUUUGGACUCCGUUUGGUAUUCCUUUUCUGCAAAACUCAAAAACAAGGAAAAACAGAAACUGGCACUGGGUUCUAAGUUAGUAGGUUAGUCCCAAAAAUCAUAUAAAAUAGCAUAUAAAUGCAUAUAAAACAUCCAAGAUGGACAACAUAAUGGCAUGGAACAAUAAAAAAUUAUAGAUAUGUUAGAGACGUAUCAGUGCCACACUCAUCGUGGCUCAAUUCAGAGAUAGUUUGGACUGACACAUAAAUAGGUUACGACUAGAUACCUUAUUGGGCUCAUUUGUAUCUCGCGCCAAGCUUAGCUUUGCUUGGGCUAGCUCACGGGCUAAAAAGCUUGUGUCCUGAUAGUCUUUGGGCAAUUCUUCAGACUAAAACCAGCUGAAGAAGCCAGCUGUGUGUUGGGGAACGUUGCAUUAAAAUAAAAAAUUUCCUACGUUCACCAAGAUCAAUGUAUGAGUUCAUCUAGCAACGAGAGAGAGAGGAGUGCAUCUACAUACCCUUGUAGAUCGCGAGCGGAAGCGUUCAAGAGAACGGGGUUGAGGGCGUCGUACUCGUCGUGAUCCAAAUCACCAGAGAUCCUAGCACCGAACGGACGGCACCUCCGCAUUCAACACACGUAUGGUCAGCGUGACGUCUCCUCCUUCUUGAUCCAGCAAGGGGGAAGGAGAGGUUGAUGAAGAUCCAGCAGCACGGCGGCGUGGUGGUGGAUGCAGCAGAGAUCCGGCAGGGCUUCACCAAGCGACUAUGGGAGGAAGAGGUGUAGCAAGGGGGAAAGGGAGGCGCCAAGUGUCAGGGUGCGGCUGCCCUCCCACCCCCCUCUUUAUAUAGGGACCCCAGGGGGGCGCCAGCCCUAGGAGAUGGGAUCUCCUAGGGGGGGCGCCGACCAAAGGGGGAAACUUGCCCCCCAAGGCUAGUGGAGGCGCCCCCUCCCCUAGGGUUCCCAACCCUAGGCGUAGAGGGGGGCCAGGGGGGCGCACCAGCCCACCAGGGGCUGGUUCCCCUCCCACUUCAGCCCAUGGGGCCCUCCGGGAUGGGUGGCCCCACCCGGUGGACCCCCGGGACCCUUCCGGUGGUCCCGAUACAAUACCGGUGACCCCCGAAACUUUCCCGAUGGCCGAAACUCGACUUCCCAUAUAUGAUUCUUUACCUCUGGACCAUUCCGGAACUCCUCGUGAUGUCCGGGAUCUCAUCCGGGACUCCGAACAACUUUCGGUUUGUUGCAUACUUAUAUCUCUACAAGCCUAGCGUCACCGAACCUUAAGUGUGUAGACCCUACGGGUUCGGGAGACAAGCAGACAUGACCGAGACUGCUCUCCGGUCAAUAACCAACAGCGGGAUAUGGAUACCCAUGUUGGCUCCCACCUGCUCCUCGAUGAUCUCAUCGGAUGAACCACGAUGUCGAGGAUUCAAGCAACCCCGUAUACAAUUCCCUUUGUCAAUCGGUACAUUACUUGCCCGAGAUUCGAUCGUCGGUAUCCCAAUACCUCGUUCAAUCUCGUUACCGGCAAGUCACUUUACUCGUACCGUAAUGCUUGAUCCCGUGACCAGACACUUGGUCACUUUGAUAUCAUUAUGAUGAUGCAUUACCGAGUGGGCCCAGAGAUACCUCUCCGUCAUACGGAGUGACAAAUCCUAGUCUCGAUCCGUGUCAACCCAACAGACACUUUUGGAGAUACCCGUAGUACACCCAAAGCACUCCUACGGUGUCCGGGAGUUACACGAUCUCAUGGUCUAAGGAAAAGAUACUUGACAUUGGAAAAGCUCUAGCAAAACGAACUACACGAUCUUGUGCUAUGCUUAGGAUUGGGUCUUGUCCAUCACUUCAUUCUCCUAAUGAUGUGAUCCCGUUAUCAAUGACAUCCAAUGUCCAUAGUCAGGAAACCAUGACUAUCUGUUGAUCAACGAGCUAGUCAACUAGAGGCUCACUUAGGGAGUCCUGGACUAGGGGGUGUCCGGAUAGCCGAACUAUCAUCAUCGGCCGGACUCCAAGACUAUGAAGAUACAAGAUUGAAGACUUCGUCCCGUGUCCGGAUGGGACUUUCCUUGGCGUGGAAGGCAAGCUUGGCGAUACGGAUAUGUAGAUCUCCUACCAUUGUAACCAACUCUGUGUAACCCUAGCCCUCUCCGGUUUCUAUAUAAACCGGAUGGCUUUAGUCCAUAGGACGAACAAUAAUCAUACCGUAGGCUAGCUUCUAGGGUUUAGCCUCCUUGAUCUCGUGGUAGAUCUACUCUUGUAAUACCCACAUCAUCAAUAUCAAUCAAGCAGGACGUAGGGUUUUACCUCCAUCAAGAGGGCCCGAACCUGGGUAAAACAUCAUGUCCCUUGUCUCCUGUUACCAUCCGCCUAGACGCAUAGUUCGGGACCCCCUACCCGAGAUCCGCCGGUUUUGACACCGACAUUGGUGCUUUCAUUGAGAGUUCCUCUGUGUCGUCACCGAUAGGCUCGAUGGCUUCUUCGAUCAUCAAUAACGACGCAGUCCAGGGUGAGACUUUUCUCCCCGGACAGAUCUUCGUAUUCGGCGUCUUUACACUGCGGGCCGAUUCUCUUGGCCAUCUGGAGCAGAUCGAAAGCUACGCCCCUGGCCGUCAGGUCAGAUUUGGAAGUUUGAACUUCAUGGCUGACAUCCGCGGAGACUUGAUCUUCGAUGGAUUCGAGCCACAACCGAGCGCGCCACACUAUCACGAUGGGCAUGAUUUAGCUCUGCAGCCGGACAGUGCCCUGGAGGCUGCACACGAGCCCGCUCCGACCCUCGAUUCGGAGCCAGCUGCGCAGAUCGAGGAUGGGUGGCUAGACACUGCCUCGGGGGCUGCAACCUCUACGGCGAUGGAGCUGAAUACUGGCCUUGUCCCUUGUGAAGCUCGUGACUCCGAGGUGACGGACUCCUUGCCAGACUCCGCACCUCCCGCGACCCCUCCAAUCGAAUCCGAUUGGGCGCCGAUCAUGGAGUUCAGCGCUGCCGACAUCUUUCAACACUCACCUUUCGGCGACAUCCUGAGUUCGCUAAAGUAUCUCUCGUUAUCAGGAGAGACCUGGCCGGACUGCGGUCAGGACGGUUGGGAUGCGGACGACGAAGAAAUUCAAGGCCCACCCACCACCCACUUAGUAGCCACUGUCGAUGAUCUAACCGACAUGCUAGACUUUGACUCCGAAGACAUCGACGGUAUGGACGAUGAUGCCGGAGACGACCAAGAACCAGCGCCUACUAGGCACUGGAAAGCCACCUCAACUCACGAUGUAUAAAUGGUGGAUACACCAAAGGGAAGCGAUAACGAGGAACAACGGGACGUGGCGAAGGACAACUCCCCCGACAAACAACCAAAACGGCGCCGCAAGCGCCGCCAGAUGUCCCGCCUCGAUAACAACGGCACCCAUACUGACCCAGCCUUAGAGCAAGGCGAAGCAGUGGACGACGAACAUGCCACCAAGCAACCAUCCGAACAGGAUGAAUUGGACAAGCAACCCAUCCCCGGCGAAAACAACAGUCCAGCCGACCUCACGCCGAACACAUCACUGGAGCAUAAGAACCUUCAUAAAAGGCUCGCCGCCACUGCAAGAAGUUUGAAGAAGCAAAAGCGGAAGCUCAAAACAGCGGAGGACGCACUCAGAAUGAGAUGGAGCAAAGUACUCAAUACCGCAGAUAAAUACGACGAUAGUCACCAAGCAAAGAGCUACCCGAAGCGCAAGCUGUUGCCCGAAUUCGACGAGGAGGCCGUAGAGCCCCCACAGUCAAAAAAGAAAGAGGCCGCCUGGCCGGAUGGACGACCAGAUGACAGGCUAAGAGCGGCAAGCGGUGCCGCACACAAGCCGGCACACGAUCCACAUAAGGAUCCUCGCAAAAAGGAUGGCCCGGCCAGGUCCAUCUAUGGGCCACAAAAGAAGACUCCAGGGAGCAACACAACCCGCCGAGUGUUUGAAGACAACGGCACACCUAAAUACAGGGGCGCCGCACACCCACUAUGUUUCACCGAUGAGGUACUGGAUCAUGAAUUUCCAGCGGGAUUCAAACCCGUAAACAUAGAGGCAUAUGACGGAAGAACAUACCCCGGAGUCUGGAUUGAGGAUUAUAUCCUACACAUACAUAUGGCCAGAGGAGACGAUCUCCAUGCCAUAAAAUACCUACCCCUCAAGCUCAAAGGACCAGAUCGGCUUUGGCUCAAAAGCCUCCCAGAAAAUACCAUUGGAAGUUGGGAAGAGCUUGAGGAUGCAUUUCGAGCAAAUUUUCAGGGGACUUAUGUCCACCCUCCAGAUGCAGACGAUUUAAGUCACAUAACUCAACAGCCCGGAGAGUCAGCACGCAAAUUCCGGAACAGGUUCCUCACCAAAAAGAACCAAAUAGUCGACUGUCCGGACGCCGAAGCCUUAGCAGCCUUUAAGCAUAACGUCCAAGACGAAUGACUCGCCAGACACCUCGGCCAGGAAAAACCAAGAACAAUGGCCGCGCUAACAAGCCUCAUGACCCUCUUUUGCGCGGGGGAAGAUAGCUGGCUGGCAAGAUGCAGCACCAGCGACCCGAGUACAUCCGAGGUCAGGGAUGGAAAUGGAAAAUCACGACGCUGAAAAGAUCAGCGCCGGAAUAAGGAAAAUGGCCCAAAUAGCACGGCGGUCAAUGCCGGGUUCAAAAGCUCUGGGCCGAAUAAUAAAACACUGCCUCUUAAGGACAACAUUGAUGAGCUAUCCAACCUAAACAAAAUCUUGGAUAGGAUAUGUCAAAUCCAUAGUACCCCCGGGAAGCCUGCAAACCAUACCCACAAAGAUUGUUGGGUCUUCAAGCAGUCCGGCCGACUUAACGCCGAACACAAGGGGCUCGACGCACCAAGCGAAGACGACGACGAACCCCACAAGCAGCACGCCGGAAAACAUAAGACUUUCCCACUAGAAGUCAAAACAGUGAACUCACUUCAUGUGAUAACAAGGAAAAAUAGUGCGGCACCUGCUAAAACACGCGCCGCACGGUCCACCCCAGCAGAGUCCCGAAAUUGGAUGUUUAAACCAAUUACUUUCGACCAUCAGGAUUACUCCAGAAGUGUUUGAAACGUAGGAGGGACUGCUUUGGUAUUGGAUCCCAUAAUCGACGGACUACAAUUCACACAAGUCCUAAUGGAUGGCGGCAGCGAUAUAAACCUGCUAUACCAGGACACCAUCCGCAGAAUAGGGAUAGACCCUACCAAAAUUCACGAUAGCAGCACUUCCUUCAAAGGAGUGACGCCAGGCCUUUACGCCAAUUGUACAGGCUCUGUACUACUAGAGGCCGUGUUCGGUUCAUCCGACAACCUUCGUCGCGAAAAGCUCAUUUUUCAUAUCGCCCCAUUCAAAAGUAGCCAUCAAGCACUACUGGGACGCGAAGCUUUCGCCCGCUUUAACGCAAUACCGCAUUACGCGUCUCUUACGCUUAAAAUGCCCGGUCCACACGGCAUAAUCUCAUUAAAGGGUAACUCCGAGUGUUCCUCGACCACAGAAAAUGUGAGACUGCCUCGACAGCCACACACUAAUCCGACCCUGCUGGUCAAAGCCCCUAAAAACAGGUCAUUCAGACCUCGGACAUGGUUAGGCGAGUCCGGCAUAAAUAAACAAGGGGCUUCCCAGCCGCAUACCUCUUUACAAGGGGCUGCACGUAUAAACAACGAGAGCCAAUAAAGCUCAACUUCAUUCAUCUUCCAAAUCAUACUUUAUUUUAAAUACAUCUUUUGCAUGAUAUUUUUUCCAAACUAAGUUCUUCUCUUUUACAGAUGAAGCACGUGCUACACCCGUCCAGGAUACAGCACAACGGAGACACAGGCGCAGACAUGCAGCAGGGACCCGUUGCAAGGAUUCUUUUCAGAUUAAGACCCUACGUAAACCUUUCUUACUGUCUCUUGUUGAUACACAUCCCCCAGUUUCCUACCAUAACCGAGGAGGAGGCUGGCGUUUUGGCAUUGGCCCCAUCAGAAGUUCUCGCCCGUACCUGGACACUAGGGGCUUAGGGCAUUGUUCUGCCCGGUAUCAUAAAGACCGAAUACCUCAGGGAGUGUUCGGCGUCUCGAGUUAGGCCUUAUAUGCAUCAGCUCCGAAUCAUGUCUUUGGUCAAAUGUUGGGUUUGCCCGGCUCCUGUGUUUUGCUGCCUUACGUUCCGCUCCAUCGGUUAACACGGCACCAGGAGAACUACUGCGAUUGUGCCCCGGUUCGGCCGGGCGAGCACCUCAGUAGAGAAAGCCGAAAACUGAUUGUCAUGAUAUAGCAAGAGACUGGUUAACCACUCGAUCGACUACUGGAAUGUUUAGAAUUCCUCCGCUUUGACGAAGGACCGCUUCCUGGUCAGGCACAUACCCGCCCCGAGUUCGGAGAGCGCGGUGCCUCUAGGGGCUAUAUAGUAGCCCCACCAUCGAGCUCCUAUGGCUAAGUGAAAGUGAUAAAGCAUUAUAGUCCGGUUGCCUAGUUUGCUAUGCUAUCACCUCCUUCAAAGGACCAAGACGUUGGAUUAAGUGUGAAAGAGCGCUUUUUUUUGCAAACACCCCCGCACCAUGUGCGUGGGGGCUGAAGCCAAAGACUGCCAUCUUUCAGGUUAUACAUACAUAUACGGCCACACAGGAGAUAGUUCAAUACUUGAACGCACAAGUAUAAAAAGCCGUUACAUUAUAAACACGAUCUCACAAAUCAUACAUGUCAUUUGAACAUAACAUCUUUCGAGCACUGCGACUCUAUUAAACGAGCGCCCUGCAGGACUUCCUCAAAAUAGUGCUCGGCGGGUAAUCGGCUUUUGUCCGAACCCCGGGAUGCAACAUCGGUGGCAUCCAUCUCCGCCCAGUAUGUCUUAACACGGGCGAGAGCCAUCCGUGCAUCCUCUAUGCAUGCCGACCGCUUCAUCGCCUCGAUAUGCGGCACCGCCCCAAGGAAUUACUGCAACAAGCCAAAAUAACUCUCCGGCUUGGGCCUUUCUGGCCACAGAUGAGCCACCACAUCCGUCAUGGCAAGUCAGGACAAUCUAUUCAGCUCAUCCCACUCAGCCAACCGAUCGGUCAACGGAAGUGGAUACUCCGGACUAUGGAAUUGAGACCAGAAAAGCUCUUCCAUUUCGUGAUCCUUCUGGCUUCGGAAGUACACGACUGCGUCCGCCGCACUCGCUGCCAAAUCCAGAUAAGGAUCCUCCGCACCAUACAAUUGGCCCAACUGAGCAUACUUCGGAUCCGUGAACUUCCUACGCAGCAGAAAGGGCUUUCCAGCUGCAAUGUCCCCGGCCUGCCGCAGUUCCUCCUUCAUAGCCCGCAUCGCACAACGGGCAUCCUUGGCUUCGGUGGCGGCCUUCUUUAGGUCCUCUUGCUCCGCUUGGCGUUCUCUUUCAAGAACCUCAUAGCGGUCGGUGGCAUCUUUUAAUUUCACGGCCAUUUCGGCCAUCUCCUCCCUGCCUCGGCAGUGAGCAGCCUUUUCGGCUUUUAGCUCUUCCGCUGCCUUCGAGGCAGCCUCAUCACUUUUCCUGGCUUGCUUCUUGGCUAGAGCAAGCUCCGCUCGAAGGUCUUCCACAGCAGCGGCACCAUCUGCAUCAAGCAUACAAAUUGUAAGGAACGGGCAUCAGCUCCCUUACUAGGUGACCGCGGAGAAACCACUUGCCUUGUGACUCGUCAAGUCGUUUAUUGACCAGCGCGAUGUCCGCAUCCGCAACGUCGAGUUGCCGGUUCAGUUCGGCAACUCCAUCAGUUCGUCUGGCCAUCGGACGUUCCGCCACAUGCAUAGGAAAGGUGACAUUCUAUAACUGAGAUUAUGAUCCUCGGCACGCUGUCGCUUUCGACAGCAUACCAAGUCUCAGGGGCUACUAUCUAUACAGGGCACACUCCAUGUGCAAAACUGUCAAAAGGUAUGUCAUUUUUUGCAUACCUCAAACCCCGUCAGCAAACUUUUGACGGCCUCAUGCAACCCGCUCUCGGCGGAUGAGAUCCUUUCAAUCACCAUACUCAUCAAUGUGCGGUGAUCUUCUGAGAUAGACGCCCUCUCGAGCAAAUCCUGCAGCUCCACCGGCCGUACUCCAGUGGGUGCCGAACUCCUCGGCCCCGUCGGACUCGGGGAGACCCUCGGUGAUGACACCUCAGGGUCGUCCGCCCCGCCCAACGGGGCGGCAGAUGGAGGCGUUUCGCUCUCCAUCAUCUCCGGACGAAGGUCCCCCGAAGAUGAGCUCUACUGAGAAGGGCUGAGAUCCGAACUACAAGGUGAAAACUUCGGUUACCCUUAGAAAUAAAGUAGGGGUGUCCCCUAUGACAAAAUUCCUCCUUUUUACUUACGGCUCGCUGGAGGGCUGAUUCCUUUGGGGAGACUGUGCGGCCGGGGCUCUUCUUGGCACAGGACCUUCCGGUGCAGAUUUCUUUCCCCGCUUUGAGGCCUUGGCCCCGGGGUCUUCGGAAGCGGUCCUCUUCUCCCCCUGGAGGAAGGGAUUCUCGAUUUCCCCCUUACUGAAAGCCUCCUUGGCAGAGGUAGUAGUUUUCCUGUGCCCCCCUUCGCCCUCCUCCGAAGGUGCAACCUCCAACAUUUUGAUUAACACGGGAUCCGGCGUGGUCUCAGGGAGGGGGGCCGGACACCGUAUCAGUUUUGCUUGCGCUAUCCACUCCUGUCCAAGGGAUAGCUGGUUAAAAGGCAAACCCAUGAUAAAUAAAUGGACAAUGUGUCCGGACACAGGGCUACUUACUUGAGUAUCUGGGCAAUUGCAGCUUAGGCCAGCGUCCUCGGUCAAGUCCGGACGCAUCUCUUGUUAUCCGAAGAACAGUUUGUACACCUCCACGGGUGUCAAACCCAUGAAGUGUUGGAGAGCUCGUGGUCCCUCCGGAUUAAAUUCCCACAGGCGGAGGGGGUGACGUUUGCAGGGCAGAAGGCGCCGAAUUAGCAUAACCUGUGUCACUACGACCAGAUUGAUCUCCCUUUCUUGGAGGUCUCGAAUCCGGCCCUGCAACAGGGGUACGUCUUUGGACGGCCCCCAGUCAAGCCCUUUGUUGACCCAUGACGUCAGCCGUUGUGGAGGGCCCGGGCAAAAGGCGGGCGGCGGCCUCUGCCUGCUGCCCCUGGGAGCGGUGAUAUAGAACCACUCCUGUUGCCACAAGCCGAGCUCCUCCUGAAAAGAGCCCUCGGGCCAUGGAGCAUCGGCCCUCUUGCUUAUAACCUCCCCGCCGCACUCUGCCUAACGCCCCUCAAUCAUCUUCGGCUCCACGUUGAAGGUUUUGAGCCACAAGCCGAAGUGAGGGGUAGUGCGGAGGAAGGCUUCGCAGACGACAAUAAAUGAUGAGAUGUGGAGGAUGGACUCCGGAGCCAAGUCAUGGAAUUCCAGCCCAUAGUAAAACAUGAGCCCCCUCACGAAGGGAUCCAUCGGGAAGCCUAAACCCCGACGGAGGUGAGACACGAACACGACACUCUCGCCGGGCUCGGGAGUAGGAAUAACUUGCCCUUGGGCAGGCAACCUAUGCGAAAUCUCAUAGGUUAAGUACCUGGCGUCUCUCAGCUUUAGCAUGUCCUCUUCCGUGAUGGAGGAAGGCAUCCACCGGCCUCGUAGGUCGGAGCCGAACAUUGUCGAAGGUCGAAAGUACCCGAAUCUAGAGCCCUGGGUGUUGGAACUCGGGGCGAGGGGCGGAUUCGAUUGAUGAUUGAAGAAAAAGAACGGGCCUUGGUCUCAUUAUAAAGAGGAAGAAUAUCAAGAGCCGUCCCCGUGACCGUUUGGAACCCGCCUUCGAUAGAGGGGGCGUGGCAACGGGCGCGGUUGGGUUACCCACGUCCGUAUUGAUGAGAAUCCCGGAAUAAGGGGAACACGAUCUCUGCUUCGACAAGACGUGCCAAGGAAACCGCUUCGCUAAACGCGCUGAGGUGGUAUAAUAAAAACGAUUCGGGUAAAGGCUUGGUAGUGGUGUGACGUCAUGCCACAAAAUACGUCAGCAGAUUGAACUUGUGUAAAUAUUAUUCUCUCUAUGAUGGUAUGUGGAAUUUAUUUUGCAGAGCCGGACACUAUCCUGGUGUUCACAAUCUUCUAUAAAUUAUUCGGAGGAGGAACCCGCCUUGCAAUGCCGAAGACAAUAUGUGCGCCGGACUCAUCGUCAUUGAAGCCUGGUUCAGGGGCUACUGAGGGAGUCCUGGACUAGGGGGUGUCCGGAUAGCCGAACUAUCAUCAUCGGCCGGACUCCAAGACUAUGAAGAUACAAGAUUGAAGACUUCGUCCCGUGUCCGGAUGGGACUUCCCUUGGCGUGGAAGGCAAGCUUGGCGAUACGGAUAUGUAGAUCUCCUACCAUUGUAACCGACUCUGUGUAACCCUAGCCCUCUCCGGUGUCUAUAUAAACCGGAUGGCUUUAGUCCAUAGGACGAACAAUAAUCAUACCGUAGGCUAGCUUCUAGGGUUUAGCCUCCUUGAUCUCGUGGUAGAUCUACUCUUGUAAUACCCACAUCAUCAAUAUCAAUCAAGCAAGACGUAGGGUUUUACCUCCAUCAAAAGGGCCCGAACCUGGGUAAAACAUCGUGUCCCUUGUCUCCUCUUACCAUCCGCCUAGACACACAGUUCGGGACCCCCUACCCGAGAUCCGCCGGUUUUGACACCGACACUCACUAGGGACAUAUUAUGGUCUAUGUAUUCACACGUGUAUUACGAUUUUUGGAUAAUACAAUUAUAACAUGAAUGAAAGACAAUUAUUAUGAACAAAGAAAUAUAAUAAUAAUCCUUUUAUUAUUGCCUCUAGGGCAUAUUUCCAACACUGUGUUGCUCACAGGCAUCCGAUACGUUUAAGUCUGGCUAUAUGAUGGGGUCACACCCGCAGGCUUCCACCCGUUGCCACAGCAAACCCCUAUACCUCUCGUUCGUGCAUUUUCCUUUCACUUCUACCACCAAGCACACAACACUCGGCUAAAAGUCCCCUCAUUCAAGCACUGUAUUGCACUCGUGUUCUAUCUUUUGAUAAAGUUCUGAGGCUUUUCUUGGACCAAAAGUCAGGCCUCCUCCCAUCCCAUGCGUUUGUGCUGUUGGGCGCUGGCUCUUCUAGGAGCGACACGUGUCCUGUCUUUCCUUCGAUUAACUCUAGCUUUUUUUACAAUGCAAUCUCGUUUUGUAUUGUGUUUAGACCACUAAAGAAAUAGCACGCUAUAGCAUCAUUAGUAACACGCUCUAGCGUUCUAAGCAAUGCCACGCUAGAUAAUUCUGUGUGCAUAAGCGACGUAUCUCCGGUUUUUACUGUGGCCCACUUGAUUUUUUAACACAGUUCUUUUCCAGUUUUAUAGUGUGUCCAGACCACUGAAAAAAUAGCAUACUACACAACCGCUAAUAGCAUGCUCUAGCGUUUUUCCUCCGGUUCACUCUUGUUUUUUUAGCAUAGUUCACUCCCAGUUUUGUUGUUUAGACCAUUGAAAAAUAGCACGCUAUAUCAUCAUUAAUAACACGCUCUAGCGUUCUAAAGAGCAAUGCCUACCUAGAUAAUUAUGUGUACAUAAUCAAUGUGUAUCUGGUUUUUCCUCUGGCUCACUAUUGGUUUAUCUAACACAAUUCACUCCUAGAUUUGUAGUGUGUUUCGACCACUGAAAAAAAUAGUGCACUACCGCACGGCUAAUAGCACACUCUAGCGUUUUUCCUCCGGUUCACUCUUGCUUUUUAACAUAGUUCAGUCCCAAUUUUGUACUGUGUUGACCAUUGAAAAAAUAGCAUGCUAUAGCACCACUAAUAACACGCUCUAGCAUUCUAAGCAAUGCCCCCCUACAUAAUUACGUGUGCAUAAUCAACGUGUCUGGUUUUUCCUCUGGCUGAUUCUUGGUUUAUCUAACACAAUUCACUCCCAGUUUUGUAGUGUGUUUAGAUCACUGAAAAAUAGCAUAUUACAGCACCGCUAAUAGCAUGCUCCAGCGUUUUGAGCAAUGUCUUGCUAUAUAAAUCAACAUAUAAUUUCUCGCUAAUAGUGCGUUUUAAAAGGUGGCUCUACUUUGCUAUAACAUGCUAAUUUUUAUAUUGGUUUAGACUAGACUGGAUAUUUCUCGUGGACUUCAGAAAUUGUGCAGAUCCCACCCUAUCGCUUUAUCCUCUCGCAUCGAUCUGGCGCAACUGCGUCUUCUUCUCUUCUUCAUCUUUCUGAUCCAGAUUCACCCCUCCCUAUGCACUAGAAGCAUUGACUCUCCCGUGGCCGUCAAACGAAACCCGCCUCUCCCCAUGACAAUAGAGCACUGCAUGCCCCUGACCUCGCCCACUCCAGGAUGCCCGCCCUUGCUGGAUAUGGGAGCCAACGGCCACCGGCAUGGAUUUCUUGGGAUGGGCUGCAUAGCAUCAUGGUUCCACACCCAACCUCACCAUCACGCUCUCUAUGACAAUGCCUCUCCUCAUUGGCCGUGGGAGCCAGUGCCACAAAAUCAGCGCCGUCCUCUAGUACCCGACACCCCUCCGUCGACCCCGACUGAUUUCAGCUACCUUGCCAACCCUACCUUGGUCGUGUCCCUGACUCCCCGGCUCCAGCACCUUGCCUCACCCACUUCCACCUUGUCGACCGCCUCCACUACAUCGUGACUGCCUUGUCCCCGACUUCAACUCUGGUAACCUCUUCCUCCUAUUCGACCACAUGCAAAUUUUUUUCCUGCGGGACCCGCGCCCCUACUUCCUAUGUGUUUUGGUGCAAGUAAUGUUUGGCCAGUUUCGGAGGCUGCCAAUUUUCGCAUUUUGUAGGAUAUACUUUUAAAUAUGCUGCGUUCCUAAGAAACAAGGCGUGCACACAUGUUUAAUUUGAUGCUUAUCCCUUGUGGAAUAGUACUGAUAGUUUAUAGUUAGAGUACAGAGGUUGCUUGACUAACAUAAUUGUUUUAUCAUCUUAAAAAUGUUGUCAAAGAUUGAACCGAUGAAAGUCCAUAAGCAAACUCGUGAUAGACAAAUAUGAGGGAAACAUCAUGUGAAUUCUUUUCAAAUUGGCCACUCAGUUUGGAACUAUAACAUAUAUGAUAGACAUUAACCAUUGCAAUAAAUAUACUUUGUACCUUGCUCUAUGUUGUAUGCUGACGCAAUGGUUCAGUGGUAGUUUGAUUAAUUAGUAUCUACAUCUUGAUUAUGUACUCCAUUUUCAAUUACACAACUUGCCAGGCGGACGAGACAACAAAACCCAUGCUCCAACAUAGAAAGAAAGAAACAUGUCACUACUACUAUGAGCCAUGCGAGGUUAAUGAAGGGCAAUACUCACAUAUUUUCCAUUGUUGACCAGCUAAGCAGUCAAAACUAGAGGCUCUUCUGGAGCAUAAAUUUUUGCCACUUUAGCUACUUCAAGGAUUUUUAUUUCGGAGGGUCUGGUUGAAUAGGGAUUGGGAUGAAUAUGCGAGCUCCAUUUCAUUAAGGAUUGGGAUGAGUAUGCGAACUACAUUUCAUUCCUGCAUACAACAAAGCAAACCUUUAUAAUAUGUAACUAGAGAAAUUUUGACUACUUGAGGCUAUGCACAAUGUAGUAAAGGUACUAUGGACAUAUGUUAUAGUUCAAAUGCAUGAAAGGAUCAUGAUAUCAUCCCCCGAACACGGAAUUUCAAAUGAAGGAAGGUUCAUGAUAUGUUGUUCUUAACAUAGUGUCCUCUUCUGUACAAAGAGUUCAUCAUCGAUGCUUGGUAGCUUUACAAUGCAUGGUCCAAAGGAGCAGAUAAUGUUCUACUAAUUGUUACCAUGUUACGUGAUCACCAUAUCAAGUGAAUGCUGAAAAUAUGGGAAAUACUUGAGAUGUCUGCUUUAGUUGACGUUUGUGAAUUGUUUUUGCAUUAUCUUCUGUAUAUUCAAAGCCUUCACCUCUCCUUUCUUACUACACUGAGUAAUUCUAUUUUCUUUUACAAAAUAAAUCAAAUGUGUCUAUAGUAUCCUAAGCUAAUGGAAUUCACAUGUUCAUUGUGUUGUUGAAGGUGCAUUAUGAAAGGGAAAUGAACAAUAGAUAACAUUCUUAUUGGCAUUUAUAAUACUUUCUGGCGUUCAACACCAUGAGCAAAGUGGAUAAGUGGCAGGGAGCAAUGACAUGAGGACAAUAUACAUCGAUAGCUAUCAAGCUAGAAAAUCUAGUUAUUUUCACUUUAUGAAGUGUACAACCUUUUAGUCCAAUAUCCGCUUCAUUGUACUCCUCCGUUCAUCUUCGUAUGUAUGUCACCAGAUUUGUAAUCGAUCCAACAAUUUGUACUCUUUUUGACAGUUCGUAAUCUUCUCGCACUACUUAGUAAAACUGGACAACAUAAAGUAAACAUGAGCAAGCAACAAAUUAAGUUGCAAUUUACCCAACAAUGGGCUCAUACUUUAGUGCGGCAGCUUAACAUGGGACUGUUGUGGGGAUCACUAACAAGCUACCUCUUGGUUCAUGAAUGUGCAUACUGUAAUAACUAAGCAAACCAACUCAUACAUUAUAUAUUUGUCUCUUCACUUCUUCAUGGAGAAGUUGCUUAUUAGUACCUUCUAUCGAGCUUCAAGUACUCCAGCUCAUGCUCUAGUGUCUAGAUCUAAUUAUAUACUAGUGUUGUCCGUCGAAUGAUACACAAAAACAGUGAGAUGAUAAGUUAUAAGAGCAAGAUUAAUUUCUUGUUGUUGAUGAGUAUGUACGCAUGGGUUUAGUGAUGAGUUUAACAACGACUGGUAUAUGGUGGAAUUAUCGCAGAUAAGCCUUCAAACCUCACUGCGAUCAACUUAGAUGUGCGAGGGCAUGAUCUGAAUUUUGAAGUUGCUCAAGUUACUUAGAUGGAAAUUCAUCAUAUAUAGCUCGAAAGCAUAUAUACUCUUGGUAUCUUGACUACACAUAAAUGUGGAGAUUCAAGAUGAAGCACGUGACUCGGCUGGUAUGCCGAUGAUCGAUCAUGGUCUUUGUUAAACGAUGGGUCAUUCAAUUCUUCUCAGUUACUACUACUAAUUUUGCUAGCUAAGAAUCUGUGACCGUGUGUCAUCAAUAGGUUGGCUGCGACAUAGAAUUAAGGGCAUCUCAAACAAUAUUCACCCAAUGUCCCCCUUACUUUUUUUGUUGACAUCCCUUGCUUGUCGACGGCUGACGGGGUGCCCAGUGAUGUCCCUCGAUUUUGGCUACUUGACAUCUCCUCCACCUCCUUCCUUUUUUUAUCUUCUCGAAUUCAAAUUUUGUACUUUCCACUGAAACAACUAAAAGAUAAAUAUUGACGCACUAUUAACUCACAUGUAAUAUAUUACAACCCAAAUGUGAAAAUUUCAAAUUACUAGCUCAAAUUUAAAUUCAUUUAAUUCAUUCGCACAUGCUCUAUUGGUUUCCAUGACGCACCCAGACAUGAUAAAUUGUGUAUGCACUUCUUGGCAACGAAUCAUUCGAUGCAUCUAUGAGAAAUUUCUCAAAAUAUUUUGUGUCGUGUUGUGCAAGGUUGAUUGGAGCACCCAUGUGGUCCAAACCUACACCAUGUACACCAUAACUCUUAUUCUCCACAAUCAUGUUGGGCAUGAUCACAAAACAUUUCAUCAUCUCUCACAAUGUAUCGGAAUCCCAUUAUUUAGAAGAUCCACGAACACUUGCCAAAUGAAGUUUUUUCCAUGGUUAUACAUGUCCCAUUCAUACUCAAUUCAUACUAUAACGUACUAUUCGACCAUCAUACUCAAUUCUUGAAGAGCUGAACGAUACAUACUCUGGUUCUGUGUGGUACAUGUCAUUGCUGGUGAUUAAUUUGAGCGUACAUACAUUAUAAUGAAUGAAAAUCAUCUGAUUUCUAUGUGGAGUGAAUAAUCUGACAGUACAUUAUAGUGAAAUGAAAAACAAGGUGUUUCUAUGGUCCGAGAUAUAAUCAUGAUCCUCAGCAAUGAGGAAUCCAAAGUUGUACGGAUGCCUAUUUAUCACUUGAACAAGCUACUAGCUAGGCCACUGGUCUUAAUAUAUAGUACUACACCAGCUACACAUACGUAUAGUUAUAGUACCACCUAGUAAUUGGCUCAAUUCUUGCAUGUCACUCACUACUUCGCUCUAUAUAUCUUUGAUGUAGAGGUCGAUGGUUGGCACUUGGUAGAAACAGGUUACAAGAAGAACAAUUCAGAGGUUGUGUUCAUGUGUGGUACAUAUAGGCUUGAUUGUAUACACCAUGAGAGAGGUUUUGAGAAUAGGGGGCAUCGGGAUAAAUUGUCCGAGUAUAAUUCUAUGUAAAUCUAGACGUGAGGCUUGAGCUUGUGGGCUCGUCCCACACUCAUCGUGGCUCGAUUCAGAUCGGGCUUGGACCGAGAUAUAUAUAGGCUAUGGCUAGCUACCCAUUUGGGCUCAUUUUUAUCUCGAGCCAAGGUUAGCUUUGCUUGGGCUAGCUCACGGGUUAAAAAGCUUCUGUCCUAGUAACCUAUUUUGGACAAUCGUGUAGACUUAAACUAGUUGAAGAGUGCACCCUAAGUGUUGCUCACGGGCAUUCGAUAAAGUUCCCGUCCAGCUGUGCAUUGGGGUCACUCCUUGUCCCUACUUUGUCAAAUUGGGUCACACAUCCAACUAAGUGCACACCACGGUUGCCCUUGGAUCAAAUUCAAGAAGGUAGAAGGGCUGUGUGCCACUAUCCUCUUCGAUGGUGGUAUACAGAUCUUCGUGAAGAGGAACAACAAUCGGCAGUUGUACCAAGCAAACCUUGGGCUUGGUGGUGGCAUGCAGAUCUUUGUCGAGGAGAUCUUCAUGCUCAUCAAGCAUAUUCAAGACCAACAACUAUGGAACCAAGACAUCCGACAACGAUGGUCCUCGCCAAGACCCGGGAACGACCUCUGUAACGCCCGGAUAAUUACGCUACAAACCCUCUAUUAAUGGUGCCAUGUCAUAACAUUACUGUUGCUAACCCUCACUUGAUCCAAAUCACAAUUAAAAUUCGAAUUCCAAAAACAAGUCAAAUUCUUAUUCCUUCAAACUAUCAAGUAAAAAUGUUUGAUGGGUUGCAAUUAUUCACUAGCUAAUUUUCAUGUAAGGAUUAACAUUUUAAAAAAUAUUUAAAUGCCCCUAAAAUAUUCAAAACAAUACCAAACAACGCUUUUUAGCUCAUUUAAAUUUAAGGUUAAAUUCAAAUGGAUCCAAUUUGAGCCCAAACUUUUUGUGCCAUCUAAGAAUAUUUUCUACUAUUUACAUGACAUGUUUCACAUUUUACAAAAAAAUGUUUGGUGGGUCAACUAAAUGCAAAACAGGAGCUAAAAAUUAAAACAAAAAAGUUUAAGAAGAAAACAAGAGAAAAGGAGAAAAAGCCCCCUGCCCACUGGGCCAAACCCCCUCUUCGCCCAGUUGGCCAUAGCCGACCAGUCCGACCCACAUGGCAAACCCUAUUUGGCGCUGCCGGCGCCCGUUAUAGGGCAUUUUGAUAACGGGCGCCUGCAGCGCACACCCCCCACCACGAUUUGGGCCGGCCCAGUUCCUUCCUUCUAUUUUUCUGUUAAAACUGGUAAAAAGAGUGGGCAGCGAAGGAUUCGAACCCGCGAACCAUUGCUUACUAAUGCUACGGUCUAAACAUAAGGCCAUCCACACGCUCUUGCAAACUUUCUUUGCUUUUUUUGUAUUUCAUUCUUGAGUACGGUUUAGUUCUUUUCUUGUUUUUUCUUUUUUUUCUAAUCCUCUUUCGUUUUCUUUAAUGUGCAGUUUUUUAAAAAAAUUCGUAAUUCUUUCGACUGAAUCGAUGAACUUUGUUUUCAAUUUCAAUGAACUUUUUCAAAAUCGAUGAACUUUUUCCAAAUUCGAUGAACUAUUCUAAAUUUUGAUGAACUUUUUUAAAAAUCGAUGAGAUUUUUUCAAAUCUGCUGAACUUUUUUAAAAAUUGAUGAACUUUUUUUCCAGAUGUGAUGAACUUUUAUCAAAUUCGAUGAACUUUUCUCAGAUUCAAUGAACUUUUUUCAAUUAAGAUGAACUUUUCUCAAAUUCAAUGAACUUUUUCCAAUUAAAAUAAACUUUUCUCAAAAUCAAUGAACUUUUUUCAGGUUUAUGAAUUUUUCUUUCAAAAUGAAGAAAUAGCGAUGCGACCUUCUUAUAACGCAUUUGCAUCUGUUACUAAUCACAAACAUGCAGUAGCUCGUCUGGCUGGUGGCAUCUGUAUGUUAACUUGAUGUGGUGAGUUCGAAAUCUAUAGAGAGCAGUAUAUUUUGCGAAAUUUUUAUGCAUUCGCUGGUCUGCGCGUCUCGUGGGCCAGCCCAGCACGGGGCGCUGCAGGCGCCAGAAGCCUGCAGCGCCGUAUAGGAGCUCCCGACCCACAUGCCCCUCCCUCCUCCUCCUCUUCACAAGGGGGGAUCGUGGAGGCCAUCGCCAUGGCCACCGGCCGGCCAGGCGCCGGGCAUCCACGACGCCGCCCAUCGCCUAUAGAACCCCAUGCAUCCCCGGCGCCCUAACUCUUUUUCCCCCUCGCGCCCCAUCUCCUUCUCCUCGCGACCCGCAGCCGCCCGCUCGCUCGUCCGCAGCCGCCCGCUCGCCGCUUGGGCUUCCCGCACACAAGCUAACCACUGUGUUUGCGACUGCCGCCGCCUUCCUGGCCUCAUGCACGCCCGCGCGCACCCACAACCCGCAGUGAAAAUAUUCUGUAGAGCAUAGGAUUUGGGACACCCCCUUAUCUAGCCAUUCAUUUUUGCAUCGCGAUUCGUGCGAGUACAUUUGUCUUUUUUGUUUCUCCCAUAUAAAACAACAUAUGAACUUCAAACUUGACAGCUCAUCAAAACAUUCUUACUAGAAUGUGGGAAAAAACUUUCAGAAUUUUUUGUGCAAUAUAAAUACUAAAAAUUACAUUUUUAAUUAAAAAAAAAUCUAAUUUCGUAUAUUUAUGUUUGACAAAAAAAUCUGAAAGUUUUUUCUCACAUUCUAGGUGGAACGUUUUGGUGUCUUGCAAAGUUUGAAGUUCAUAUGUUGUUUUAUUUUGAAGAAACAAAAAAGAGAAAAUCUGAUGUACAAAGUUAGUUGUCUAGCACGGAUCUCAAAGCAAUGUUGGAGGGGUGUCCAGAAACCUGAGCUCUAAAUAUCUGUGUCCCAACCCGCAGCCCAGUUGCUGGCCGCCAUGGCCUUUCCGCGUGCUGUGGCCGCCGCGCGCCUGCCUGCGUGUGUGCCCGCGCUCGUCCGUGUGCUCCCCGCAGCCGUCGCGUCCCGCGAGCCUCCCCGCGCGCUGCUGCCGCUACUGCUGUAGGCUGCUUCUGCUGCUAAUACUACCGCUAGCUGCUUCUCUACUUGGCUGCUGCCUCUGCAUCGAGCACCCCGCGCCCCGCCAGCGUCGGCGUUGCCUGCCCUGCGCCGUCCCGUCCCCUGCCCCACGCCGCCCCGUCCACUCCUCCCAGCCGCGCCNNNNNNNNNNNNNNNNNNNNNNNNNNNNNNNNNNNNNNNNNNNNNNNNNNNNNNNNNNNNNNNNNNNNNNNNNNNNNNNNNNNNNNNNNNNNNNNNNNNNNNNNNNNNNNNNNNNNNNNNNNNNNNNNNNNNNNNNNNNNNNNNNNNNNNNNNNNNNNNNNNNNNNNNNNNNNNNNNNNNNNNNNNNNNNNNNNNNNNNNNNNNNNNNNNNNNNNNNNNNNNNNNNNNNNNNNNNNNNNNNNNNNNNNNNNNNNNNNNNNNNNNNNNNNNNNNNNNNNNNNNNNNNNNNNNNNNNNNNNNNNNNNNNNNNNNNNNNNNNNNNNNNNNNNNNNNNNNNNNNNNNNNNNNNNNNNNNNNNNNNNNNNNNNNNNNNNNNNNNNNNNNNNNNNNNNNNNNNNNNNNNNNNNNNNNNNNNNNNNNNNNNNNNNNNNNNNNNNNNNNNNNNNUACGCCCGCACCCCCGGGGCCCCGCCCCUUUUCGCCCACCCCACUAGGCCCCGAGUGGGCCACGGACAGUGGCCCAGCCCCCUUUUCCUGUUAUUUUUUUAAAAAAUAAUGAACAAUAAUAUUAAUUAAUUAAUUAAUUAAUUAAUUAAUUAAAACUUAAUUUCCUUAAUUAACUAGUUGUUUUAUCUGUAACUAGUUAAAUGUGUCAAUGACACGGGGGCCCACCCCUGUUGACAGUUAAGCAUUGACUGGUCAACUGGGACCCCCUGGACCCACAGUCAGCCUCACAUGUACACUGUUGGGUACAUUUCUGGGUACCCCUAGCAAUUUAGUCAUUUAUUUCGAAUUAAAUUAAAUUAUAAAAUAUUAAUAAAACUUUGAAAAAUCAUAGAAAAUAAUCCAUAACUCAGAUGAAAAAGUUGAAAGUUGCUCAGAUAAAUAUGACGAAUCCGAAUACGCGGUCCGUUCAUCUCUCACAUGCCCCUAGCAUAACGAACGUGGAACCGUCCCCCUCUAGUUCGUUUGUCUGAAUGCAAACUCCGGGAAAACAUUCCCGGAUGCUUCCCCACUUCGACGGUAUCGCGUAGCACUGCGUUAGAACACCCAUAGCACCGCGUAUUGUCAUGUAAUGCUUAGUGAUGCAAAUGUGUUCUUUGUAUUUACUGUUUCUUCCCCCUCUUCUCUUCGGUAGACCCCGAGACCGAUGCUGAUGCCCGUGUGAUCGACUACAUCACUGACGAUCCUUCUUCCUUUUCACCGGAGCUUCCAGGCAAGCAAACCCGGCUUGGUAACCGAUGAUUCGAUCAACGUGAUCAACGACCACAGCCCGACACAACACAUCACCCCCUUAGUUGCUCGGCUCUGCAGAGCUACUAUCGAGUGCCGAGGGUGAUACCUCGUAACGCACUCCUUAUGAUAACUCCGUAGUGUAGUUAUUCGGUCGUGGUCAUCGAGGGUGAUUCCUCCUUCACCACUCUCGAUACGAAUCUGUCGUGCAACUCUUCAAGUGUGAACCUCGAGGGUGAUUCCUCCUAAGUUCACCUUGACAUUUACAUCAAGUGGAUUCCAUCGAGGGUGAUUCCUCGGAUUCCCCCUUUAUGUUAUGGACACACGGUUAUCUGGACUUUACUUGAGACCAUUGUUGAAGUCGGGUCGGCCCUGAGGGGCCCGCGAGUUGACGUGAAAGUCGGGCGGGCCCGGAGAGCACCCGCGAGAUAAUUAUGAGGCACGGUUGGGUAGGCAUGCCGCCCCCAAGUGGGAUGAGCUAGACCUUGCCGUAUUUCCUCGAGACGGGGUGACGUGGUUACACUAUUGUGAGUUUCUGCUCGUCUCCGCGAGCUCCUAACACAAUAAGGAUUUGGGUAUUUGAUCUGAGUUGGCCACUGGCCUUUGCGCACUAACCACUACGCUGGAGCAGUUAUGGGCACUCGGCGUCGUAGUAUCAGCCGAAGCUUUGUCAAACGUUUAGUUCAGCAUUGUGAGCCUGUCGGGCCAGUGCCAUCCAGGAUGAGGUGGUGCUCGUACCAGCUCGUCGCACAAGGACCCAGAGUGCAACGGGCGAUGGGCCCAAGAGCAUGGAGUGCUUAGGAUGUAGACUGGCGGGGACCUCUCUGCUGAGCCUAUGUACGGCUGCGACGUGUUGAUCUUCCGAGGCUGGGCAUUGACCCAAGAAAGUGUGUCCGGCCAGAGUAAUCAAAUGUGUUGGUAAUGUGGUGCACCCCUACAGGGAAGAUUAUCUAUUCGAACAGCCAUGUCCAUGAUAACAGAUGCUUGGAGUUGUAUCCCGGUUUAUUACAACUAGAAAUUGAUAGUUGAUAUAUGUGAUGGAUAUGUUGGCUCCGGGAUUGCUUUCUCGCAGGGAGUCGGGGAAGGAUCUCUGGGCGUUAAUUCUACAACGUGCUUGUUAAUUAUAAACUGCUAUUAUGUACUCUUCUGAAUGCCGCAAGAUGCUUGGAUCUACACGAAGAUGCUAGACUUCGAUAGGUUAGGCCUUCCCCUCUAUUCUGACAUUCUGCAGUAUAGUCCACAUAUACUCCCUUACUUUGAUACCAAUACAUGCUUAGUAUAGAUCUGAUGCUUGCGAGUACUCUGGAUGAGUACUCAUGGUUUCAUUGCUACCCCUUUUCCCCCUUCUUCUUUCUUUCCGGUUGCUACGACCAGAUGGUGGAUCCCAAGAGCCAGAUUCCACCCCGUCGACCACUGCUACAUGGAGACUGCCGACGACCAGGAGUAGUUAGGAGGUCCUAGGCAGGAGGCCUGCUACUUCUUGAGCUUGCGUUGGUUUUUCCCUUGAAGAGGAAAGGGCGAUGCAACAAAGUACAGAUAAGUAUUUCUCUCAGUUAGAGAACCAAGGCAUCAAUCCAGUAGGAGGCACAAGAAAGUCUCCAAUCUAUGCACCGACACAAACAAUCAAACACUUGCACCCAACGCAAUAGAGGGGUUGUCAAUCCCUUCACGGUCAAUUGCAAUGGUGAGAUCUGAUAGAGAUAGAUAUAAUAGAUAACUAAAAUGUAAAACAAAAGAAAAGUAAAUAAAACUCAACGAGGUAUUUUUGGGUUUUUUGGUUUAUAGAUCUGAAAAUAUAUAAGGGAAAAUAGACCUGGGGCCCAUAGGUUUCACUAGAGGCUUCUAUCUUGAAAGAAAAUAAUACAAUGCAUGAACAAAUUACUGUCGAGCAACUGCUAGAAAAGCGCAAAGUUAUGAUGAUAUCCAAGGCAAUGAUUAUGCAUAUAGGAAUCACGUCCAUGUCAAGUAGAUCGAAACUAUUCUACAUCUACUACUAUUACUCUACACAUCGAUCGCUAUCCAUCAUGCAUCUAGAGUAUUAAGUUCAUAAAAAACGGAGUAACGUCUUAAGUAAGAUGACAUGAUGUAGAGGGAUAAACUCAAGGAAUAUGAUGAAAAUCCCAUCUUUUUAUCCUUGAUGGCAACAAUAAAAAUACGUGCCUCGCUACCCCUACUUUGUCACUGGGUGAGGACACCGCAAGAUUGAACCCAAAACUAAGCACCUCUCCCAUUGCAAGAAAUACCAAUCUAGUGGGCCAAACCAAACCGAUAAUUCAAAGAGAAAUACAAAGAUAUCAGAUCAUGCAUCUAAGAAUUCAGAGAAGAUUCAAAUAAUAUUCAUAGAUAAUCUAAUCAUAAAUCCACAAUUCAUCGGAUCUCAACAAACACACCGCAAAAGAAUAUUACAUCGGAUAGAACUCCAAGAACAUCAAGGAGAACAUGGUAUUGAAGAUCACAGAGAGAGAAGAAGACAUCUAACUACUAGCUAUGGACCCAUAGGUAUGAGGUAAACAACUCACGCUUCAUCGAAAGGGCAAUAGGGUUGAUGUUGAUGCCCUCCAUGAUUGAACCCCCCUCUAGCAGAUCGCCGUAAAAGGCCCCAAGAUGGGAACUCACAGGAACAGAGGCUUGCGGCAUCGGAAAAGUAUUUUUCUGGACGCUUCUGGUGGUUUGGGAAUAUUUGAGAAUUAUAGGCCGGAGAAUAGGGUUAGAGGAGCUCUGAGGGACCACAAGGCAGGGCCCCCCUCCAUGGCGCGCCAUGAAUCCUUUCCAUCGCCUCGAGACUCCUUUUCCUUGGUUUCAAAGUCCUACGUCUGUCUUCUGGUCCAAGAAAAAUCAUCAUAAAGUUUUAUUACGUUUGGACUCUGUGUGAUAUUCCUUUUCUGCAAAACUCAAAAACAAGGAAAAAACAAAAACCAACAUUGGGCUAUGGGUUAGUAGGUUAGUCCCAAAAAUAAUAUAAAAUAGCAUAUUCAGGCAUAUAAACAUCGAAAACAGGUAAUAUAAUUGCAUGGAACAAUCAAAAAUUAUAGAUAAGUUGGAGACGUAUCAAGGCCUUGCCUCUUCGAUCAUUGUUGCUUUUGUGUUUGCCUUCUUAAGGCAUCCUUGUUUAACCUUAUGUCUGUACUCAGAUAUUUUUGCUUCCGCUGACUCUUGUGUAUCAAGCUAUGUAUUCGAGACCUUGAGGCCCCUGGCUUGUAAUGCAAAGCUUGUAUUUUUUUGUCUAGAGUUGUGUUGUGAUAUCUUCCCGCGAGUCCCUGGUCUUGAUCAUACACAUUUGCGUGUAUGAUUAGUGUACGAUUGAAUCGGGGCGUCACAAUUUGGUAUUGGAGCCGACUGCCUGUAGUAACCCCCUUUCCAACUCCUUGGCCGAACGUGAGUCUAGUCUUUGAAGAACUGUUUUACUAACAUGGCUGGGUGGCUUACGGGCCCACAUUGCCAAUGGAUGGUGUUAAGAUCUUUUACUCCUCGUCUAUACUCUGGGACUCUGGUCUCUCUUCUAUUUGGGUUAAAUUAUUUGCUAAAUCUUACAUUAGGGUCUCGUGAUCACAUCCACCCGGAGAUUUGUAUUACCCCUUUAUCGAAUUGAGGGCCAAGAUCUGCUUCACAAUGUUCACUCACCACAGGAUCAUUUUAUCAAGGGCACCCUGCAUCGUCACUUGCAAAUCCUUUGCUCCAGUGGUUUUCCCCGACGUUGAUGUAGCCUUUUCUAUGUCCCGUUGUUGCAUCCCUCCAUCGCGUGCAUGUGUGCCAUCAUGUCUUCAAUGACUACUGCUUUGUACAUACCGCGCCUUUGCUCAUUGUUCAAGUUACAUCAUGAGUGUCACUCCCAAUAUGCGACCCUAUCCGAUAGGAACUCGAAGGUCCCACCAAGGAUAGAAGCGCAUAUUGAAGACGCUUUGCAAGGUGGAUAUCAUUACAUCGUACCAUUACAUAAUAGAUGGGGAUAUAUAUAAAAGGCAUUAAAUGCCACAUGAAUACAACAGCAUCAUACAUAAGAGCUACAUCCGAUUACGUAUGAAGCACAAACAGAAACUCAAAUGACAUCCACCCUGUUAGCCCAGGCUGCCGACCAGGAACCUAUCCCUCAAUUGAAGAAGAAGCGGAAGAAGAACUCCAAAACAAGUAAACAUCGCUUUCACGUCAUGAUCAUCACAUUACCUGUACCUGCAACUGUUGUUGUAGUAAUCUGUGAGCCAUGAGAACUCAGCAAUCCCAUUACCAGGGGUAUCAAGACUAGCAAAGCUUAAUGGGUAUGGAAUGGAUAAGUGGCGAUGUUGCAGCAAGCGACUAAGCAUUCUAUGGUGCCUAACUUACGAGUACAAGAAUAAGAUGGGAAGCUACGCAAACGGUCGCAAACUAGUAAUGGUCAAGAAGUGAUCCUGAACUACUUACGUUCAAACAUACCCCACCGUGUUCUCUUCUCGACUCACUCGGAAAGAGAAAGUCACGGUUACACAUGCGGUUGGUGUAUUUUAAUUCGAAUCUGGUGUCAAGUUCUCUACAACCGGAUAUUAGAAAUUCCCAUCUGCCACAUAACCGCGGGCAUGACUCUCGAAAGUUUAAACCCUGUAGGGGAAUCCCAACUUAGCCCGUGACAAGCUCACAAUCCAUGGAGACAAUCCUCCAUCGCGGGACAUCUGAUCAAACUCGAGGUCCUGGUGCACAAGACAUUUCAACAAUGGUAAAACAAAACCAGUAAUACCUUCCGACGUGCCGACACCCUGAUAGUAGCCGCGCGUAUCUCGUCUCAGGCCACAAUCGGAUGGGUCAAGCUAUGAGUGAAACUAGACCUCGAGUUUCCCCGUGGUGGCCCUGCAGGUUGCCCGGUUUGGACAAACACUCAUGAGGAGCACUGGCCCGGGUUGUUGAUUAAUUAUCCUCAGGGUCUGGAAAGUCCCUAUGCAAGUUUUAGUUAUCGUUAGGCAAAUGGUAAAAUCAAUGUUGGGCCUUGCUGGAAGAGUUUUAAAGCGAACUGUCAAAAGGGUCCCAUAAACCCUCACUGUGUUAGGGACGCAAAAUCAAGGAACAUAACACUGGUAUGACAGAAACUAGGGCGCACCAGGUAAAAGGCCGAGCCUUCCACCCUUUACCAAGUAUAUUGAUGCAUUAAUUAAAUAAGAGAUAUUGGGAUAUUCCAAGAUAUCCAUGUCCCAACAUGGAACAACCUACACUGCACCUGCAACUAGCAAUGCUAUAAGAGGGGCUGAGCAAAGCGGUAACAUAGCCAAACAACGGCUUGCUAGGAUGGUGGAAAAAAGGUUAGAGGCUGUUUCAUGGCAUAUAGGGAGGCUUGAUAAACAAGUGGUAGGAAGCGCGACAUGGCGAUAUCAUCGGACAACUAGCAAAGCAAAGAUAGUAGUGAGAUCCAAGGUGACGGUCAUCUUGCCUGAAAUCCCACUAGGAAGAAGAGCUAGUCCAUGAAGAAGACAAACGGGUGUAGACGAACCAAGCGUAGUUGUACGAGUCCUUACGAUCGCAACGAAACAGGAAUUACCGAGAAGAAGCACAACUGGAAAGAAGCAAACAACAUGGUAUACACACAACACAUAAACAUGGCAUGAUGCUCAACCAAGUAUGAUGCAUGACAAGGUUACAUGAUGCAACUCAUGGCAAGAGAUGAUGCAUACAAUAACAUCAUAUCAAAGCAAGUUUAAAUGAGGCCGGAAACAACAUAUAACAAUUCAGGUAAGUCCUCAUAUACAAAUUUCGAAAUUGGUCCAGAUCUGAACAACACAUUAUGUUGAAGUUGUUAAACAUCAAGUUAAUAUGCACCACGAUGAUCUACACAUUAUCCUAGCCAAGUUACAUAUCAAGUUCUUUUAAUUCGGAGGUACGACCUAGAAAAUAUGACCAACACUAGUUAAACAUGGCAUUGAUGCAAAAUCAAGCAAAACACAAUCACAAACACUCCAAAACAAGGAUGUAACAAUAUAUUAUGAAUCUAUAUGCAAUUCUAAGCAAGUUUCAUAUAGAGCAUGCUCAAAACGGAGCAACGGUUCAACACAUACACUCCAAACGAGUUACAACAACAAUCUGCCCAAAACAACAAGUAGGCACUUUGCAAUCAUCAAAACAACAUGCUACAGGAACUAUAUGAGCACAAACUUGAUAUGCACUCAAAGUACAGAUAACAUGCUCCAAAUAUCAUUAAGGUUCAGGUUCAUAGGCAUCAAGAUUAAUCCAAGAUGAUCAAUGCAAAAAGCCAAUUUAAAACACAGAUUAUGACCGUGAAAAACUGGGCAUGCAUGUGAGUAGAGUUAAUAUGAUGGCAUGUUGGAGGCAUAAAACAAAUAUGCUACAGUGCAAGAUCAUGGCAAGCAAAAACAUGGAAUGCUAGUAUAUAUCAUGUAGCUAAAAAAUCAAACAACAUGGCAUAUAUAUAUAUAUAUGUGUGUGUGUAGGUAUAUAUAUGUAUAUGGGUAGGUCUAUUAUGAUAACACCCUUUAAGACCCUUAUUUUGCACAUCCCACCUUAUUCUGCUAACACCCCGAUUACCCGAACCGAACCCCGCUAAAAAGCCAACCGAGCUGCCUGGUAAAAAAUCCCAUCACUUCUGCCCAGGCCACGAACCCCCACCCCUUCUCCCCACAUAGCUCCCACGACCGCACCUACAUCCCAAUCUCCUCCGCAAUCUUCCUCCCGUCACCAACCUCCCACCACGCCGCCCAGGAUCCCCACCACCGGCCACUGCGCCGCGCGGGCCCCCCUCCACCGGCCGCCGUGCGAGCCAUCCCGCCCCGCGCCGCGCAUCCCCUUCCCUCCCUUCCCAACGCCACACGACGGCAUGGAUCUCGCCCACGCCUCCCAUCCCGACCUUCCUCCCCACUAGGCCCCGACCGCCCCUCUCUAGACCACCGCCGCCACCCCUCCACAGCCAGCCACCGCGCCACCCCGCCCUACACCGGCGUCGCUCCGCCCCUUCCCAGGCCGCCACCGGGCCCCUGCCCGCGAACACCGUAGGCGUCGAUUGCCGCUACACCCCUCGCCCCGGUGAUCUCUUUCUGCGCCGCGUCGACCUCCUGCUGCAACGCGGUGGCCGGAUCCACCAGGCGCCUCCUUCAUCCAGCGCCGCCGGAUCCACCCGCUUGACGACUGGAUCCACCACGACCCCGCCUUACCUCGGCGCCCUUCGACAUUCCAGCGCUAUCCCGCUCCCCUCUCGGUUCAUGGGUGGAGGCAGCCACAUAUGUGGGUGUCGUGCUAGUGUGGCUCGCCGGCGACGCAUGCCGCGGUGCACCUCACUGUGCGGUGCAGUCCAGAAGAGUUUUUAUCAUCCUUUUUUCUGGAUUUUGGAUGUGCAAUUCAGUAGCCACUCCUCCCUCCACCUCCCCUCUUCCAUUCCCCGACAGGAGGAUGAUGACUACCCGAUGAGGCGCACGAGCCUGCUGUCUCUGUCUAAGGCGAGCAUGGCCACAUGGCGAUGUGCAUCCCGAUGUAGAGUCCAUCUGCUGUAUGAAGUUUGGUGCUCCCCUUCUUUUUUUGGACUUGUGCCAUGCAGUCUUCUGCUCGUGGUGCUUGCUAUGCACUACAGUAUAAUUUUGCAGUGAGAAUGUUUGUGUUUCUUUCACAAUAGAUGCAGUUCUUGGUAAAUCCCUUUGUGGUUUAGUUUGCUAAAAAGGAGAAAAAGGAAAAAAAUGCGUCAAUAUUGCAG